GCGACCUCUAUGUCCCGCCCCCUCAGACUCGGAAGGGGGCGGGGCCAGGGGCGGAGCUACUAGGGAGACCCGGGGCCGCGGUGCCGGCGGUUCGGACGCCGAGCGGUCACCGCUACGCGUUGCUUCCGGGACUGGCUCCGCGCUCAUUACCAGCCACACGUCGUUGAAGGUGGCUAUUCCUUUAGCCGUUUGGGGGCUACGUAUUGAACUCGUACUGUGCGCCAGGUAUUGUGUCGGGGGGGAUCCCACUCCGUGUUUUCCCGGACCUCAGGCUGGAGAGGGAAAGAAGGUGCGCUGGAGAGGAGGCACGGUUCUUCACGGCGCAAGGACCUGGCCUGCAGGAGGCCUUCCCCUAGGAAGUGACGGUUAAGCUGAGAGUGACAGGGGCCGGAGGGAGGCCAGUGCGGACGGCGGCGGAGCGCGGCCGCGCUGGCCCAGUGUUUGGGCAGGGCCUUACCUGCUCCCUUGUCGGAGCGUGGGAAGCUAGUGGGAAGCAGGAGCCCAUUUGCGUUUGAAAAGGCCUCUAAUGUGAAGGAAUCCCACUGGAGGAAGGGGUCAAAUGGAUGCAGGGAGGCCAGCAGAAGAUGGUUGCUGAAGUCCGGGGAAGAAGUGACGAUAACAACUCGGACUAGGGUGAUGGCAGCGUAAGUGAAGAGAGUGAGAGGACUCAAGAGCUGUCCGGGAGGUUCUAUCAGCCGGCCCUGGCGUCGCGCCUACGUGUAUGGGCGAUGGAGAAGAAGGAACGGGGAAGGAGGGCUAUUUUUCUGACUUGGGCCUUGGAAUGGGAGUACUAGUCACAAAGAAAGCGAACACUGGAAGAGAAAAUCAUUUCUACCCAAAAGAAUUGAAAGCAGUUAUUCAAACAAAAACUUGUACUAGUAUACAAAGACAGUGUUCACAAUAGGCAGUGAAUGGAAACAACUCAAAAGUACAUCAGCCGAUGAAUGGAUAUAUAAAAUAUGGUACAGCAGAUGAUUAUUUGGCCAUCAAAAGGAAUGAAGCAUUGAUGCUACAACAUAACAUGCUACAAGAGAAGCAGACCUUGAAAACAGUAAGUGAAAGAAGCCAGAAGCAAACGGCUGCAUAUGGUUUCAUUUGUAAGAACUGUCCGGAAUGGGCAUAUACCAGGGGCGAGAUACCAUCUAGGAGAUGUUGGAGAAUAACACAGGGUUAAAUACAGGGUUUCUUUUAGGGCAAUGAAAGUGUUCUGAAAAUAGUGGUAAUAGUUAACAAAAUUGUGACUGUACUAUAUGCCACUGAAUUAUAUACUUUAAAAUUGUAAAAAUAAUGGAUUUUAUCUGUUUACCCCAAUUUAAGAAAAAUGAAAACAAAAAGUGUGUACUUUGGAAUUAGAUCAGUCCCAAUUGUACCAUUAAUUAACUCUGUGACCUUGGACAUGCUCAUUUCUGUGCCUCAGUUUUCUCAUCUGUAAAAUGGAGACAUCAUGGUCUCUACCUCUGCAGGUUGUUGUAAAGACUGAGUGGGAUAAUGCAUGUCAUUCAGCACAGUGCCUAGAACAGACCAAGUCCUCAGUCAGUCAUUGUUAUCAUCAUCAUUAUUAGUAUCAUCAUCAUCGUCAUCAUCUUGUAUCAGGUUCAAUAGCAAGUAGAGCCAUCUCUAGAAAUUUCCAAAUAUUCUUAGUGCACCAGCAUCACUGCAUGUAUGCAAGAUCACAGUUUGAAAAACAUUGCUUCAAGCCAGUGUUGUCUCUGACAUCUGUAAGCAGUCUGUCACCAAAUGACAAGCACCAUGAAACCAUUCCACUUGAGAGGAGGGCAUGUGUCUUCCCGCUGGGCCUCUGGACCAGCCCACUCCUGACUUUCAGCUUUCUUUCCAGCAGAGCCAACCACUGUAGUUUUCAAGAUGUGUCCUAUGACCCUCCAUCCUGAUUUCCAAAUCAUGGAUGUCCCAAACACUUUAAAGUGCUUAGAGCCACUAACAUACAGAUGAGUGGUUGCUAGCUGGUAUUAGCUGGCCAAAGGUAUUUUUUUCUUUAUUUUUAAAGAUUUUUUAUGUUAGUUGUAUAUGGAUAUAGUAUGCUUUUUUUGUUUUGUUUUUUGAUACCAGGGAUUGAACUCAGGGUCACUCAACCACUGGGCCACAUCUCCAGCCCUAUUUUGUACUUUUUUUUAGAGUCAGAGUUUCACUGAGUUGCUAAGCGCCUUGCCUUUGUUAAGGCUGCCUUUGAAUUCUUGAUCCUCCUGACUCAGCCUCCAGAGCUGCUGGGAUUAUAGGCAUGCACCACCAUGCCUGGCUUCUUUAUUUAUUUUUAUGUCAUGCUGAGGAUCAAACCCAGUACUUCACAUGUGUUAGACAAGCACCGUAAAACCGAGCUACAACCCCAGGCCUGUCCAUAGAUUUCUGAAGGAGCUUUUUACAGCACAUCUAGGGUAAUGUAUUAAGCACCCUCACAUUUUUCAUCAACCAUUUUCCUACUGAAAGAUUGCAUCCUUCAGUGCAUUUCUGAAAUACAACUCUACCAUACUAGCACGAGUUGUUCACAACACCACUUUCUAAAAAUCCAAGGUAAGAAAAUAGUCUUUAGUGAAGAAAAAUGAAGCACACCAAGAAAAGCAAUGAAAGGUGGAUGCUGCACAAAUAUACUAGCAGCCCUUGUGUGCUUAUGGGAUGUCUUUGUGUGUACAACAGUGGUUAUUUAUUACCACCAGAGGAAAUGCAGUGAAGCUUAACCACAUACCAACUGUAAAUUAAUCUGAGUUACUCAAUAGAGUAAUUACAUUAGAAAUAAUUUAAAAUGCACUAAAGUCUUCCACACUCUCUUAAAAUUCACAGAACAAAUCAAUUUAGAGUUUCAAAGUUUGCUUGUUUUCAAUAGCAUGCAGGGAGCAACACCUAGGUAAAGGCCAAGCAGGAGGGGCUGGGCCAGACUGCACUGAAUGCAAGUUUUUUGUUAAUUGCCAAAGAACUGCACACCACCUAUUCUGUUUUGCCACAAAAUUACUGCUGUUGAUCCUUUUUCCUCUAUAAAAUUAGACUGAUUAGUCUGGGCGUGGUGGUGCAUGCCUGUUAUCACAGUGACUCGGGAGGCUGGGGCAGGAGGAUCAUGGGUUCAAAGCCAGCCUUAGCCAUGGUGAGGUGCUAAGCAACUCAGUGAGACCCUGUCUCUAAAUAAAAUACAAAAUAAGGAUGGGGAUGUGGCUCAGGAGUCGAGUGUCCCUGGGUUCAAUUCCUGGUACCCCUCCCCAACCCUCCAAAUCAGGAUGAUUAUAGUUCAUCUUAUGUGAUUGAAGAGAAGACGAAAACAAAGAAGUGAAUUGAAAAAGUUCAAAAAAUGUUUUAUUGAAUAAUUGUUUCUAAUUAUAUGAUAUAUGCAAGAACAAAAAUAUUUUUCCUAACUCUUAAGGCGUCUGGCUCUGUUGCCCAGACUGACCUCACACUUUCGAAUUUAAAUGAUAUUCUUGCCUCAGUGUCCCAAGUAGAUAAGACUUCAGGUGCCCAGCAGCAUACCUUGCCUGGUCUGUCUUUUAUGCCAAUUGAGUUGAUGAGGACAAGAUCGAUGAAGUUAUAGGUCCCAGUUUAGCUAUUCCAAGGUUGAUCAAUGAAUUCAAGUUCAGUUUGUCACAACAGGUGAAUAAAGCAAGUACAUAGUCCCAAGGGCAGGCACUGGGGACCAUGAACCAUUAGUUCACAAUUGGGAUGCUGCAGGCGAACUCCCAGCAAGCUGGAAUCCAUUUAUCAUGACCAGACACAGAAGGUCAGAAUCAGGAAAGGGCCUCUACCCCCACCUGGCACUGCCUCCCUCCUGUGUGGUUGAGGUUCUCUCAAACUUUCUUAUGACAAAGUGUCACUGUCUAGCAUAGUGCUUUGUACUAGCAAAGUGCUCAAAGCAAUGACAACAUUAGAAGUUUUUAUUCUUUCAAAUUCCUUCUAUUAAAAGGUUGAUCUUCAGUUGUAACUUCAAUUGAGACUAAAUAAAAUAAUUUGGGAUUUAGAACCUGUUAGUCAACUAUUCAUUAUUUUGACAAGUAACAAAAAAAAAAACAACUUAGGGAGGAAAGAUUUAUUUUGGCUCUGGGUUUCCCCAGUUGACCAGCUCCAUUGCUCUGGGCCCAGGUGAGGCAGCACAUCAUGGCAGAGGGCCUGGCUGAGGAAAAGUAUUUAACUCAUGGCAGCAAGAAACAAAGUGAAAGAGAGGAGAAGGGGUCAGGUUAAGAAAUGCCCUUCCCUGCCAGGCAUGGUGGUACACGCCUGUGAUCUCAGCCACUCAAGAGGCUGAGGCAGGAGGAUCUCAAGUUCAAGGUUAGCCUCAGUAACUUAGCAAGGUCCUAAGCAACUUAGUGAGGCCCUGUAUUAAAAUUAUAGAUAAAAUGGACUGGGGAUGUCACUCAGUGGUACCUACCCCAACCCCAGUUCAACCCCAAGUGCCAAAAAAAAGAAAGAAAGGAAAAUACCCUCUCCAGGCACACCCCCAGUGACCUACUUGCACCAACCAUUUCUCACUGUGGACAGUUUCCACCAAUUCCCAAGAGUCCUUUCAGCUGUCAGUGAAUUAAUCCAUGGACGAGGCCAGAGCCCUCCCGACUCCACCACUUCCCCAAAGCCCCACUUCUGGACAUGGCUGCAUUGGGGACCAGAUCUUCAACCCAUGAGCCUUUGGGAACAUUCCAGGUCAAAACCAUGACAAGCACUUCUUAUUUUCUCAUUUAUCCUGGAUAUCUUUCUGAAUGAAGAACAGAAGACCCAUCUGGAAGAGGGAAAGCAAAGACCGUUGGCUCAAGAAGAAAGUCCAAAGGUGAAAUUGGUGAGAGUAGAUCAGGGAUGAAUCACAGGGAGACCUGACCCAUCUCUCUGCCUCCUCGUUACUCUGCUUUAUUUUCAUAGGUGUUUGCUUCACUUUUACCAGUUUCUCUCCUCUGAUAAGCCCUGUUGUGCCAUGAGGAAGCCUUAGUUUGAACCCCAGCAGGAAAAGAGAGAGGGCUUUCCUUUCAAAGCUUGCUGACUCUGACCUAUCUUGGGUGACAGGUUCACCAUGGAGCCAUCGCGGUAGCAAAGGGCAUCUGAUUCCUUGGUCAGGCAGGCCCAGGUCCCAUCCAGGCAGGAAUCUGAUUGGAAUCAGCCUCCCAUGAUCCACUGGGACUGGUAGCUGAUGUGGGGGCCGGUGGAGUUUCCCUGGGGAAAAUAAGCUUUCUAAUAACAACAGGUAGGAAGAGAUGCUGGGCAGAUGACCAGAACUCCCCACAGGCCGUGAUCUGCACAGACAUGUCGCUGCUGUGCCCCUUGCGGCCUUGGACGGCAUGACCCUGUUAUAAUUCUUCCUCCUCCUUUCUCUUCCUUAAGGUCAGAAAUCACUAGCUCAUUUCUGAAUCCCUUGCUUCCCUUCUUCCUAGCUUCAUCUGCAGUUCUAGGACAGACACCUUUCAUUCAGUAACUACCUGUUGCUUGGAUGAACGAGUUUCUUGUUUGUAUACGUGUACUCACAGUAAAUAAUUUUGCAUGUGUUAAAAAUGAAGUCAAGGGCUGGGGCUGAGGCUCAGCUGUAGCAUGCUUGCCUGGCAUGUGUGAGGCACUGGGUUUGAUUCUCAGCACCGCAUAUAAAUAAAUAAAUAAAGCUGUUUCAACAACUAAAAAAACAUUUUAAAAAAUGAAGUCAAAGUGCAACAGAUGAAUUGAUGAGAAAUACAAGUCACCGGAUCAAAUGGAUGUGAUACUAUUUAAUUUUUCUGAUUACAUUUGCUAGUAAUCACAGCGGAAUAUUAUCAUUUACUAGGUGCCAGCCAUCAUUCUAAGCAUUUGUCUAGCCCAUGACCAGCGCUGGCUUCAUGAAAGAAGGUUUGAAUUGUGAGAAAACGCUAGGGAGUUUUAAAUUAAAGAGACAAGACUCUAAUUACCUUUAAAAUCAGCUCCAGGACGGCUCCUCCCAGCUCCAGCCUCAAGCCACCAAAAGUGGUAUCGAGAGGUUUACUGAAGAGGCUAGUGAGAGAGAGCACUCCACGGAGUGGGCUUUUAUUGGGAAACAAAAAAUGCUGGGGAAAAUCCCAUCCAAUGAAGGUUAAAGGGGGCACCAUCCCAAGGUCAGGGGCGAUGAUUGGGUCUUUGGGGCAGUGGCCAGACACGCCUCUGCAGGGACAAGCCCUCAGACCUGGAGAAGGGUGGGCAAAGCUCUGACACAGCUGUGUCUAAGCGCCUCUCACCCAGCCAGGGAGGUAACUCAAAUCACAUUCGAGGAUGGCCUCCCACACAUUUGCUCUCUGUUUAGACCUCACACCAACCUGAUGACAUAGGGGGAUGAGUGUCUCUUUAAGUGGGAGAGCGGGCUCAGGGACGUAGGCGUCCUGGCUUGAGUCAGCUCUCAUAAUGCUUCGCUGCUAAUAUUCACUGUGCUAAGCACUGGGAUUUGCAUAGGCAAUAAUCACUCUCCUUAAAGACCAAUAUAAGCCAGGGACAAACAAUUUUGUGCACUUUUGACAUUAGUUCACAGAAAAGCCCUAAGGGGUGGGGGUUAUGUGAGGAUCCAUAAUUAUAUCACUAAUCAAAAUCACAUGAGGGAUCACUUAGGCCCUAGUUGGGGCAGGCGGUAUACUUAGAUGUCCCAAAAUACCGUUCUGCAGGGUGAAAACUAAGUUGCGUCCAUGCUAAGACUGGACUAAGAUGUCAAAAUAAGGCUGUUCUUCUACUUAUAUUUCAGAAAUGUGUUCCAAAGUAAGCUAACUUUUUUUUUCCCUAAGUAAGUUCUGUGGGCCAGCAGGUCCCUCCCACCCAGAGCUUGUUAGAAAUGCAGAAUUUCAGGCCCAUGUUAGAGCUACACGAUCAACAUUUGCACCUUACGACAUUCCUAGGAGAUGCCUGUGCAGAGGAAAAGUUGAGAAACUCUGAACUAAUGUGAAAACAGAGUCAGCCAUUGCGUCUGUGGGUGCCAUGCGACGGAAGCUUGCUCAUCCAUGGCUGAGGCAGGUUACCUUAUCUGGUACCUGGAACAUUUGAGGUGUUCAGCCAGGGGAGUAGCACAUGACUAAAAAGAGUCCAGCCAACCAAGAGGGACAGAGAGUCUUUGGCUGGAGCACAGGCCCAUGUGUUCUGGGCCUCCUGACUAUCCUGCCACUUCUCAAGUUGAGAGCUAGAGAAAGCCAAAGCCUAGCAGCCAGUAAGGUAAACAAAACAGAAAGAACACCUGGAGCUAAGACCGUGGAGGGAAAAGCAAGCCUCCCCAGAACCAGGAGGGAGCAGCUCUUUCCCUUGCUCCCUCUACUGGCAGGGCUUCACCUCCCUCUACUGGCAAAGGAAACUAUUUAAAAGGUUCAGAUCCUUUUCACAGAGCAGGCAAUGAAGGGUGGACUGUCAGGGGAUAUCUUUUUCUCUUUUGGAACUUUGGGGAUGGGCUACGGAUUGAUCCUAGGGUCUUAAGCAUGGUUAAGUGCUCUACUACUGAGCUACAUCCCAGCGCCUCCUGUUUGUGAAUUUUAUUUGAGACAGGGUCUUGCUAAGUUGCGCAGGCUGGUCUUUGAACUUGUGGUCCUCCUGCCUCAGCCUCUGAGUGGCUGGAAUCACAGGAGUGUGCCACUGAUAUCUCAAUAAGGGCACAUCACAGUGUAUUUUACCAGUUUCCUACUAAUGGACAUCAUGGCAUGUUCCAUUUUUCACCUUUCUCAACAAAACUUCUUAGAACGGCCCUAAGCAUAUUAUUGUCACACUUGAAGGAUUAUCUCAAGAGAAUUUUCAGUUGAGGAAAAAAACAUGAAGAGAUCUGUAUUCCAUUCUUGGGUUAAUCAAAGUAAAUCUUGGGCUGAAGUCGUCUGGGGAAAAUGUGGACGUUAGUGGCUGCCUGGAUUACUCAGAGAGGGCCAAGGGCUUUAUUUUUACGUGGCCUCUGCUGCUUCCUUAAUAAUCUGCAGAACAAGGACAACUUCUGUUUAAGAAGUCUUCAGAGGCCUGAAGCUUCAUCUCCCAUGUGAAUGUCAUUGAAGCCCAAACUCCUGCCAUUCAGGCCUCCGCCAGUGUAACCUCCCCUCCCCUCUCACCCGGGGGACCAUCCUUGCUCUUUGAACUUCUUUAUUUGGCACCUGAGGAUCCUGUCUUUCCCCUUGAAAGAUUAACUUAUUUCCCUUGGGAAUAUUUUAAAAUUUGUAUUGCUAGAUAAGACCCAGUAUUCAGCCAGGUGUGGUGGCGCACACCUGUAAUCACAGUGGCUCAGGAGGCUGAGGCUAGACUCAGCAACUCAGUGAGGCCCUAAGCAACUCAGUGAGACCUUGUCUCAAAAUAAAAUACAAGAAGGGCUAGAGAUGUGGCUCAGUGGUUAAGCACCCCUGGAUUCAAUCCCUGGUAUCAAAAAAAUGACCCAGUAUAGGUAAAUGUUUAUAAACAACAACAACAAAAACCUCUAGGGAGCCCUGUUUUCUGCACAGAAAGUUUGUCUUCCCCUUCCCCAUUCCUAGUUCUGAUCUAGGAAUCUUUCACAUUCGCCCUGUACCCUGAAGUAUAUUGAAGAUAUACCUCAAUCCAUUAAUUAACUGGGCACGAACAUUAUGCCAUGCAAACCUCACAAGAAUCCUAAAGGAUAACCUUAUGACCAUUUAUAUACAAGGAAUCUAUGGCUAAAAGCCUGCCAGCUUUGUCUGAGGUCACAGAGGUAACAAGUAGUACACUGGAAUUUGAGACCAGGUUCCUCAAGUCCAAUCUGCAGGAACCACCAUGUUAUAGAAAAAUAUAUAACUUAAGAGGAGAAGGGCCCAGUAGGCUUGCUGAUCUGUGUUGGCUGAGAGGGCCUCAACAUGCCCCGUCAUCUCCGAAGGCCCCUGUGGAAGUCCCUGUGUGUUCAGGCCCUGCUGGCUGGCCUUGCUGGGGCCCUUGUCCUGGACACCUGACUCCUCUCUCCCUCACCCGAGGCUCCCUCCUAAGCCCUGUCUCCUGAAGGCAUUGCUCCCCUGUUGGAGGUAACCAGGGCAGGGCAGCGGGUGCUCUGAAGGGAUGGAGCCGCUCUUCCCAGAGCAUCUCUCAAGACAGGAGAUUCCACCUUCCCGGGCACCAGCUGCAGAUGUGACAUAGAGGUGCAGGACUAUGGGUCCCCAGCAGGAGCUGCCUACCCUUUUGCUUGCUUACGUUUUUUAUUAUUAUUAUUACAGAUUUACAGAAAGACACACACACGUGUGUGUACGUACUUAUGAAGAACCUCAAACAUCAUCAAAAUGUGUAACAAGAAAAUCCUCAUAGAAUGCACCCCCAAUGAUCACUAACAGUUGGACACUUUAUUUAUUUAUUUUAGUUGUGGAUGGACCCAAUAUGUUUAUUUUUAUUUAUUUUAUUUACAAUUCAACUCUUCAGACAGAGGGCAGAGAAUAAUGCAUUUUCUGUUAUAUCAUUUUACUCCUUUUUUUGUAUUUUUUUUUAGCUGUAGGUGGACACAAUACCUUUAUUUUAUUUUUAUGUGCUGCUGAGAAUUGAACCCAGGGCCUCACGCAUGCAAGGCAAGUGCUUUACCACUGAGCCUCAGCCCCAGCCCCUGACAUAUUAUUUUGUUAUUAAAACAAAACUAAUGGUGCUGGGUGCAGUGGCACAUGCCUGUAAUCCCAGUGGCUUAGGAGGCCGAGGUGCGAGGACAGCUAGCUCCAAUCCAGGGUCAGCAAGUUAGCAAGGCCCUAAGCAACUUAGCAAGACCUUGUCUCAACAUAAAAUAUUAAAAAAAAAGUCCUGAGGAUGUGGCUCAGUGGUUUAGCGCCCCUGGGUUCAAUCCCCGGUACCAAAAACAAACAAAAAUAACUAAUGGACUUUUUUUUUUAGAGCAGUUUCUAAUUCACAGCAAAACUAAGCAGAAAGUGGAGUUCCCAUGCACUGCCACCCACACAGGAGCCUCCACACCAGCAACAGCUCCGCACCCCCAGGGUGGUGCGUGUUGUCCCGGGGGCACCUACACUCACACGUGGCCGUGGUCUCCUUCAGUACUGGCACUUGGUGUUUGGGUUUGGACAGAUGUGUGGUAACACCCAUCCACCAUCACAGUGUCACACACAGGAGCUUCGCUGCCCUAAAAACCCUCUGUGCUGCCCUGUGCAUCCCUGUCUGCCCUGGCAACCGCGUUCUCACUGUCACUGCAGUGUGACCUUCCCCAGUUUGUGAUACAGUUGAGCUCAUACACAAUGCAGCCUUUUCAGAUUGACAUUAUUUUUAUCAUUCUUAGAAGUUUUUGUCCCUAAGUACACACUGUUAUUUGAUGAGUAUUAAUGAAUCAGAUAAGGAAAAUAGCAAACAUAUUGUUUAGCAGCCUUGUUCAUUUUUGUGUGCUGGGGUGCUCAGGAGUGCUCAACCACUGAGCCACAUCCCCAGCCCUUUUUGUUGUUUGAUUUGAGACAGGGCCUUUAAGCUGCCCAGUUAGCCUUGAACUUCCUGCCUCAACCUACCUGCUGAGUUGCUGGGAUUACAGGCGUGCCUCACCAUACCCAGACUGUUCAGUAGUUUUCUUAAGCUGACGCUGUGUAAAUCUUGGUAUAUUUUCUUGUCAGUGUAUAUAAGAGAUAAUAAUGGUAAUAGCAGUAACAGCUAACCAUUGAACAUGUACUAUGUGCCUUGUACUUUCUGCUGUAAGUGUUCUCCAUGUGUGAUGUGGGCUGAGCUGGGUCCCCCUAAACUUCAUAUGCCGAGGCCCUAACCCCCAGGGUUUCAGAGUGCAGGGGGAGAGGGAGCCUUGCAGAGGUGAUGAUGUCAGUAUGGUGACCGGUAAUCAAUGUGACCGGCGUUCUUGUGAGAGGACGGGAGCGUAGGACAGAGACAUACACAGAGCAAAGGUCAUGUGAAGAUGGGGGGAGAAGGUGAGUGUGCAAGCCACCACCUCAGGAGAAACAGCCCUGCCCACCCCCAUGGAGACCGCCAGCCUCCAAACUGGGAGGAAAUCAGUUCUGAUGUUCAAACCUCCCAGUCUUGACUUGGCUCUGGAGUCUCCAGAAGAUGAAUAUAAAUGUGUAACCCGUGUUCUCAGCUCAGCUUCAACAGGUAGGAACUCUGGUCCCUGUUACCAGGGAGGAGCCAGACACGAGAGACUAGAGAACGUCCCAAGGUCUCCCAUGCUAUCACAGCAGGAGAGACUAAGUCACAGUUCUGGUCCUCGCAGUGCAGCGGGCUGGGCCAGGGCAUGUGUUCUUCAGAGUCCCUCCGGCGCAGGCUGAGGGAGCGCCACACCAACAGCUUCCAUGUCCCCAGGCGGAGGACCUCGCAUUGGCCUGCCCAUCACUCCACUUAGUCACCCCCAUGACCGCAGGUCAUAAGGCCCCACGUCACAUGAAGGCAUGUUGAAGCACAGCCCGCCAUCUACCCAGAGGAAGAGGACUGGGACAUGCCAUCGUGAACAGCACGUGGCACCACACAGGGCAGAGGAGGGACGUGGGUAGGUGAGGUUCACACUGAUGCUCAUUCUAGAUUCUUUUUUAUGCAUUUCUUCCCCUACCUGGUGCUCACUGGUGUCCUGCCACUAUAAGAAAACAAUCAUUAUGCGCACAACACCUUCCCGAGGCCCGGGGAGUCACUCUAGUGAAUAGUCAAACCUGAGGGCGGUUGUCAGGAACCCCCGGUCUGUAGUCACUGGUAUUGAAGGGGCCCCUGAAAAUCCCCGCAAUAUGGCUGAUAUCUGAAAUAAAGAUGGUCUUGGUACCUUCGACCUUGAAA